AGGUAAGCUACUAAGAGCGAAUGGUGGAUGCCUUGACUGGUAAAGGCGAUGAAGGACGUACUAGACUGCGAUAAGCUACGGGGAGCUGUCAAGAAGCUUUGAUCCGUAGAUUUCCGAAUGGGGCAACCCAAUGUAUAGAGAUAUACAUUACCUAUAUAGGAGCGAACGAGGGGAAUUGAAACAUCUUAGUACCCUCAGGAAAAGAAAUCAAUAGAGAUUGCGUCAGUAGCGGCGAGCGAAAGCGCAAGAGGGCAAACCCAGUGCUUGCACUGGGGGUUGUAGGACUGCAAUGUGCAAGAGCUGAGUUUAGCAGAACAUUCUGGAAAGUAUAGCCAUAGAGGGUGAUAGUCCCGUAUGCGAAAAACAAAGCUUAGCUAGCAGUAUCCUGAGUAGGGCGGGACACGAGGAAUCCUGUCUGAAUCCGGGUCGACCACGAUCCAACCCUAAAUACUAAUACCAGAUCGAUAGUGCACAAGUACCGUGAGGGAAAGGUGAAAAGAACUGAGGUGAUCAGAGUGAAAUAGAACCUGAAACCAU
rnacentral:rRNA from 1 species